UUCAAUCUUUUUAUCAAUAUCAUAUCGCCAUGUUGGAAAAAAAACCUUCGAUAUAGCACAGUAGAGUUGUAAUAACAGCUGGCAGGUAAACGAGGGACUCGUGCACGAUAUAAUGUACUUUGAAGAAUUAAAAGAUCUUCGAGAAAGAUAUCGAGCUUUAUCUUUAAGAUCCGGAGAUAGUAGUCAAAUCACUAAUCCAAUUGUUGUUCCUGGAUACCAACAACUUCAGAAGCAGCGAUCUGAAAUUUUGCCUAGUGGGCAAUACCAGACAUUUACAGGUCAGGAUUCAGACAACGACGGUCAGCAAGAGUUCGUUGAUCGAUCCGGAGACAAUCUUUCAAACACAGAAGCGGAUUUAUAUGAAAUUGCAAAAAGAGUACACGAACAACAAAAGAGAAGGUACUUAUUUACGGAUUUGUCAGAUACAAAUAAUAAUGAGUGUUUGGUAAUAGAACAUAAAAGACAAAAUCCUCCAAAAUACGGAACUUAUAGUAACGAAGAUGUGAGAUGCAAAUCGUAUCAAGGAUGGGAAUCUGAGUGUGAAAGGCCUACUAUGCUUUUUGCAAAGUCUGGGUUCUUUUACAGAGGUUUUGGUGACAUGACGACUUGCUUCCAGUGUGGAUUUGUUUACAAAAACUGGAGCAGGGAUGCCGAUCCCAUCAUUACCCAUUCCACUCAUCGAUCUGACUGUGACUUCAUAUCAGAACUAAAAGAGAAAGGAGUACUAUCUAGUGAAAAUAUCAUCACAAAAACGGACACUGAAUAGCAGAACGUCUGACGCCAAAAUAAAAUCGUUAAUCUGAAAUAGAAUUGGAGAUUCUGCAAAGUUUUAUGAAUUUCAAGCAAUUAAUCAUAAAAUUCCUCACAUUGUCUAUCAGACGAAGUUGACUGGAUAUUGAAAAGAAUCUACUGUGUAUUUUAAAUUUACUUUUGUAUAAGAUUUCUACUAGUAUCAUUCUGGGACCAAUAUAACUUGUAUCAGUAUUAGUAUUAGUCCCAGUAUCUUUGUAUGAAUAUACUGCUGAAUGUUUGCGGUACACGAUAUUUGACAUUGGAUAUUCAACAGAUAUCACAAACAGAAUAUAUUGAUGAUAUGUUUAAAUUUGAAGUUCAUCCCUGCUUUGUGCUAGACUUAGUCCGAUUUUCAGUCAUCUAUAAGACAAUGGAACAGUUCGUAUGAAGAAAUGUCACUCUCAUGGGCAUCUUUUUUUCAACAUCAAAGCUGAACAGCAUUUGUUGUUACUCCCAAACAUGACGAGUCCUUAGACUAGAGAUAGCCAAACCCAAUGCAAUGCAAUUUGUUUGUAUAACGCUUUGAAAUAUAAGCCUUUUAAUCAAGGAAUCCACGGUUGACAUAUCCGUAGUGUGGGCAUCAUUUUGAAUAAACUGUCAUAUUAAUUUUUCUCUCUGCCUACGAUCCUUCGAAUACAUAGCAUAGAAAAUGACGGUAUUACAAUCACCUGCAAUUGUCAUGAUUGUGGUGUAAUGAAUUUGAUAACAAUGUGUAUCAUUAACACCCCGAUUUGUUUGAAUGCAGAUAACGUUUAAUGGUUUUAUCUUGAUAAAUGUAUAUACAAAUGUAUAUAUAACAUUCUUAUUAUUACAUUAAAAUAAAAACAAG